AACUUUAUAUUCAAAUAAAUGAUGUUAAAUUGCAAGUUUAAAGGUAUUAAUUAUAAUUUAAUUAAGGUUU
rnacentral:tRNA from 1 species